rnacentral:rRNA from 1 species
UACAGAGGGUGCGAGCGUUGUCCGGAAUCACUGGGCGUAAAGGGUGAGUAGGUGGCCUGUUAAGCGUGUGGUGAAAGCCUGGGGCUCAACCCCAGGUCUGCCGUGCGAACUGACAGGCUUGAGCAGAGUAGAGGCGAGUGGAAUUUCGGGUGUAGCGGUGGAAUGCGUAGAUAUCCGAAAGCACCCCGGUGGAGAAGGCGGGUCUGUAGACAGUUCGUGACGCUGAGACAAGGAGGAGAGGAGCAAACGGG